rnacentral:rRNA from 1 species
GAUAAGGCAUCUUAUUAAUAUUAAAGCUUCGGCACUUGAUGAUGGGUGUGCGGCUGAUUAGAUAGUUGGCGGGGUAACGGCCCACCAAGUCUACGAUCAGUAGCUGAUGUGAGAGCAUGAUCAGCCACACGGGCACUGAGACACGGGCCCGACUCCCUACGGGAGGCAGCAGUAAGGAAUAUUGGACAAUGGACGAAAGUCUGAUCCAGCCAUGCCCGCGUGAAGGAUUAAGGUCCUCUGGAUUGUAAACUUCUUUUAUAUGGGACGAAAAAAGGGCAUUCUUGUUCACUUGACGGUACCAUAUGAAUAAGCACCGGCUAACUCCGUG